GUGGAAAGCAGGCCGCGUGACUGAUUUAGGGAACAGAAGCCCCCACUGUGAACUGAAGGAAGGAAUGCAGCUCGAAAAGCAGGGCACCUGACCCAGGACGUGUGCUACAGUCGGAAAACUGGACCUUUAGCGAACUAUGGGGAGGCAAUCUGUUGGCAUCAAACACCCAGAUGAGCAUCUCUUUCCAGGAGACACAAUAGACAGCAGAUGCUGGAAUCUGGAGCGACAAAUAACUGGCUGGAGGAACUGAGCGUCUGAGCAGCAUCUGUGUGGAGGGAGAGGAAUUGCCUACAUUUCGGGUCGAACCCCUGUCUAUCUCUGCCACACUGCAUCAAUAUUCAUCUAUCAUCUGCCUCAUGAUCUCAGUGGAGUAAACUGUGUGGCAGGUGGGCCCAUCCCAGAACUUUGCCCACAGAUUUGAUGCCACGAUCCAGGGAUGUACCACAAAAACUGAUGUGCAAAGCUCCAAUGAAGAAGUUCUUCUCCCAGUUAGCUCACUCACCUUUUUUGGCUUUAAAAUACUUAUUUCUUGAUUUUAAGCUUUAGGUCAUAGAACCUUCAGUCCACAAUAUUGCGCCAAACUAACUAAAGAUUAGCUUCAUUUGUUACAUGAACAUCAAAACGUCAAAGCACACAGUGAGGUGAGCAAGAAGAACCUGCUCAGCAACGAAUCUCAAUAAAUAAAAUAACUAAUGUGGUCACGGUGAGAACAUUAAAACUCCUUACAGACAGUGGUGGGAAUUGAGCCUCAAUCAAUUAUCACUGGCAAUUAAUUGCUAGUUUAAUUAGCAACUAACUAAUUAAACUAGUAAUUAAUUGCCUAAGUAAACAGUCCUGAUGAAGGGUCUCGGCCUAAAACGUUGACUGUUUGUUCUUUUCCAUAGAUGCUGCCUGACCUGCUGAGUCCCUCCAGCUUUUUGCGUGUGUUGCUCUGGAUUUCGAGCAUCUGCAGAAUCUCUUGUGUUUUCUCUUGACAAUUUUCUGUGAAUGGUAUGUCCUAGAGGUGCAGACUCUAGUAUUCAGCUGGUGGGGGCGGGGGAGUGGCUAUUCUCAUCUGGAGAUGCUCAGCUGGAUGACACACUUCCAUCCCUGUGUCAGGCACAGGAAGAAGCAGACAGGAGGAAGGAGAGAGCAUGCAAAUCUGAAAUUAUUUUAUAUGUAAAGAGAUAAGAUUGCCAACUCUGCUGGCUGUGGGAAUCAAUUUGCAACUGAAAUAUUGCACCCAGUUCUGCCAAGAAAAAUAUUUAUCUCUAGGAAAAUAAUCCGCGGUUGAUUUGGUUGCUUAACCCUGUACCUGCUGAAUAGAAUAUAUUUUAUUUCAUUGAGAGAUACACCGCAGAAGAGGCCCUUCUGGCACUUGAAAGUGAGCCCAUAGAUGGUGGAAUCAGUUCAGUGUUGAGGUGAGUGAAGCUUUCCAUCGUGGUCCAAGAGCCUGAGAGUUGAGGGGUAAUAACUGUUCCUAAACCUGGUGAGGCGGGACCAAACCCUUCUGUCCCUCCUUCCCGAUGACAGCAAUGAGAAGAGAGCAUGUCCUGGAUGGUCUGGGUCCUUGAUGAUGGAUGUUGUUUUCUUCUGUUAGCCCUCCUUGUAGAUGGCUCAGUCAGUGUUGGGGAAGGCUUUUCCUGUGCUGACUGGACAGUGUCCACUAUUUUAUGGUAAUUUUCCUUCCUGGAAAAAAAUACUCCUUUCAAAAUCCACCUCAAUUUCCCUUGUGAUGCUGGGUUAAUCUUUUUCCCAAGACAGGGACAACAGCAUUAUUGCUCCAGCAGUUGAUGAUGACUGGUUCUCCCUUUCCGCUGGACUCUGCCAGCAACACCGGGAAGUAGGUCUUGAUGCCAGGGCAGCCCAGGAGUUCCCCUUGCUCAGGCCCAUGGCACGAUGGAGAGGACACUCCACUGAUGUCGCAAGAUAUCAGCAUGACACGGGAAGUGGCAGUUACUGCUUAUAAGCUCAUCUGACUGGAGCAGGAAACGGAUACUGGGGCCACUUCUGCCGGCGGGAGAGAUCGUCGCAUCUCACUGGAUGUUGAAUAGAGCACUACCUGGAGCUGUAUGCAACCCGGAGCGUGGGGACCAAUGUUGCCCUGGAAGCACUAACUGACCUGCCAGUCAUGGAACAGCUCGAUGCGUUGUCUUCUACAGAGGAGCUCAGCAAAGCCAUUGACUGUCUGGGCAGUGGGAGAGCCUCAGGGGAAGGUGGAAUUCUCCCCAAAGUCUUGAAGAGUGGGAAGCCUGCCUUGCUGCAUCAUGUGCAUGAGUUUCUGUGUCUUUGCUGGGAGAAAGGCCACAUCCCCCAAGACAUGCGAGAUAUCAACAUUGUCACACUUUUCAAAAGCAAGGGUGAUCACAGUGAUUGUAACAACUACCGUGGCAUCUCUGUCCUUAGCAUUGUGGGGAAAGUGUUCUCCUGCAUUGUCUUGGCACGACUUCAGAGCCUUGCAUCCGGCAGGUCUCCAGUGGACAUGAUCUUCUCACUGUGCCAGCUGCAGUAUUGGGGGCAGCAGAAGCCACUGUACACAGCUUUCAUUGAUCUGACCGAGGUGUUCCAUGAGCAGGGUGGGUGAGAUCCUUCAUGAUGUUUCCAGUCUUUUUCAGGCACCUUACUGUACAUGUGUCCUUGAUGGUGCAUAGACUGGUGCUGGUGAUCUGUUGGGCAAUUUUGUCUAUCCAUUGUUUGCCACAGUGUCGUUUCUGUACCCUAGUGUUAGGAUGCUCUCUAAUUAGUUUUAAGGUCAUGAGUAUUUAUGUGCGUAGUCCAGCUCUCUUCAGCCUCCUCAGGACCUCAAGGCAUUGGUGAGCUUUCUUGAUUGUGGAGGAUGUGUUCUAGGACCAUGAAAAAUUGUGUGAGAUGUGAACUUACAGGAGUUUGAAACUAUUCACAGUGUCCACUGCUAUGCCACCAAUGUAAAGAGGGUUGUGAAUGGUUCCACACACAAAAUGCUGGAGGAACUCAGUAGGCCAGGCAGCAUCUAUGGAAAAGAGUAAACAGUUGACAUUUUGGGCUGAGACUCUUCAGCAGGACUCUUUUCCAUAGAUGCUGCCUGGCCUGCUGAGUUCCUCCAGCAUUUUGUGUGUAUUGUUUGGAUUUCCAGCAUCUGCAGAUUUUCUCUUGUUCGUGAAUGGUGUGAAUUCUCCUUGUUGACAACCAUCUCCGAUGUCUUGUUGACAUCAAGGAACACGUUAUUUGCCUGACACAAGCCUCAAGCUCUUCCACCUCCUCUCCAUAGGUCAUCUCAUGGUUGUGGCAGACUCUAUAUUGAAAAUAGAUUAUUUUUGCCUAUGAGUCAUAUGCCUAGCCUCCAGCACAUUAGCCAAUGCAGGGCUGGUAGUAACUACUCAGUAUCUAUACAGUUCUGUGUAUGUCUGGCUCAGAUCAGCCAGAAAUGUAAUGAAAUAUCUGAGAUGUUAGCCUUGACCCUCUCCCCAUAAGCAUGACCUGAUUUUUCUGAAUAUUUUGCUAUCUAAGUACAAACUCUUCAGCGGAACAAUCCCAAGAUGUUGGAGGAAUGAAGGAGGUCAGAUAGAGUCUGUGGAAAGGAACAGACAGUUGACAUUAAAGGUCAUCUUCCUUCAGGUCCUGAAGAUGAGUCUUGGCCUGAAACAUUGACUGUUUAUUCAUUUCCAUAGAUGCUGCCUGACCUGCUGAGUUCCUCCAGCAUUUUCUGUGUGUUUCUCUGGAUUUCCAGUGUCUGCAGAAUCUCUUGUGUUUAUGUUUGUUUUUCAUUCAUGAGGAGAGUCUGUCGCUUGAAAUAAUACUUCGACAUUAUGGAAGGGCCAGUUAAAAAUAAACUUACGGUAAUAAAUAUACAAUUGUUAAUUUUUCGAUUA